rnacentral:lncRNA from 1 species
AUUAUUUUAAAAUUGAACACAUGAAACCGGAUGUUUAUUUUUAAUGGUAGAUGAUUUUCAAUAUAAAAUAGAUUAUACUCCAACAAUAUAAAAUAUUUUGAAUUCAUCUAAAUCACAAAAUUCUAUUAUAAUAUUUUUUAAAUUUUUUGUAAGUUUGAAGUAUUUAUUUUGUCGGUGCACUUAUAACUUCACUAAAAUUCUAAUCAAGAGUAAUAAUGAUAGAAAAAAAAGGGUGUUGCUCCCUCCACCUCUCCAGAUGGGAUCUCCACCUCCUCACUAUUUUAAUUUAUUUCAAAAAUAUUCUACACCUCCCAACUAUUUUCUUUUAUUCCAAAAAUACCAUACACCUCCC